UACGAGGGGGGCAAGCGUUGUUCGGAAUUACUGGGCGUAAAGAGUGUGUAGGCGGUGCUCCAAGUCUGUCGUGAAAUCUCCCGGCUCAACUGGGAGGGUGCGGCGGAAACUAGAGUGCUCGAGUGUGGGAGAGGUAAGCGGAAUUCCUGGUGUAGCGGUGAAAUGCGUAGAUAUCAGGAGGAACACCUGCGGUGUAGACAGCUUACUGGACCACGACUGACGCUGAGACACGAAAGCGUGGGUAGCAAACAGG
rnacentral:rRNA from 1 species